rnacentral:rRNA from 1 species
AUGUCCUCCCCCCUCCGUCGACCAUGGGUCGCUCGCGCGAGACCCGCUGGUUGGAGUCCAUCCCCUCCUCCGGUGGCUUGGUCGGCUCCCUGCCCGCCAGCUACCGCGAGGCCCUCUGCCGGUCCCCUGCGCCCUCUCCGGUCGCCUCCCUGGCCGGCUUCGGAUCCUCUCCGUCCCCCGCCGCGUCCUCCUCUCCGCCCACGCGACCCGCCAUCUGCUCCGAGAUCUGCCGCUCAGCGGACAAGCUCCCCGCCCAGCAGCCGGCCUGGCAGGUUGCCCGUGGGCGGAAGCGGCCUCGCCAGCGUGCACCCCGCCGCCCGCGGUGCGGGCCUGGUGACGGCCCUCGCCAGUGCCCCUCCUGGCUCCGUGAAGUGGAGUGCCCCCGGUGCUUCAGCACCGCCCAUCCGCGCAUCGAGUGCCGCCGUGAGAUUUGAUGUGCGCGCUGCCGCUUCUUCGGCCACAAGGCGAAGCAGUGCACUGCCAGCCUCUCUGCCUCGUCGGGCAGCUCGUCCCCGCUUCCUCAGCGUCGUCGCGUGCAUUCGCCGGUCGGUGCCCCGGGCGUGCACUCCGCUGCCUCCACCCGCUCCACCCCGACCUCCUGACACCAGAGUCUUCUGGAUUCGCGGCCUCCACCCGCUCCGCCACUGGCUGCCGACGCCCGUGUCUGCCGGGCCGGCAGUCGAUGUGUUUCGAGUGAGCCCCAGUCCCGCCGCGCCUACGUCAUCCAGGCCGGCGACCUCCUCGCGCUCUUUGUCACCGAUGGACUCGGCCUCCUCGUGUGCCACGCCGUUCUCCGGGCACCCAACGCGCCGCCCUGCGGCCGCCAUCUGCUACCUCCCCCGCUAUGAGGAGAUGAUUGCGGCGCAGUGGGCGCUGGGCCUCGCCCUCCUUGCCAUGGUGGCCGGCUACCGCUCUGGCAUCACCUGCGACGAAGUUGCUGCCGUUCUUCGCUCCAGGUUUGACUUGCCUGCACACGGGUUCUCCGUGCACAAGCACGCACCUGAGGAGUUCCUUCUCCGAUUCUCGAGCCAGGAGCUUCGCGCGCGUGCUGCUACCGCGGGCCGGGCGCGUACCCCCCAGUUUCGUCUCAUCUUCCACCCUUGGGGCCGGACGGUGGGCUCCAAGCUGGUGGUGGAUCCUUUCCUCCUCUCCAUUGAGCUUUACGGCAUCCCCGACCACGCGUGGUAUCGCUCUUCUGCCGAGUUCGUGCUUUCGCCGUUCUGCAAGGUCGAGAAUCUCGCACCUGAGACCCGGUCCAUGGCGGACAUGUCAGUCUUCAAGCUCACCGCCUGGACUACCAACCUAGAUGCCAUACCGCGCGCCUCCGAGCUCCUCGUCCCCGACGAUGAUGUGGUCUCCCCUGACACCGACCCGGAUCGCGCCAAACGGCUCUCCCUUGGCCUCGCGCGCUUCCCCGUCUGCAUCCACAUCGCGGCGUGCGAUGACUUCCGCUGCCCACUGCCGCCUCCUCCGCGGCCUCCAGCCGGCCAGGAUGAAGGCUCGGACCUGGACUCGCCCCCGCUCCCCUCGCGCUGGUCUCAGCACCACGACUUCCCUCCCGCCGCCCCGUCGACGCGUGACCUGCCGGCUGGCCGUGCUGGUCGCCGAGGCCACUGCCGCCGCGCGCACGGCCCGCCCAUGUGCCGCACUUGGGAGGGCAUCCUUGGGCCCCACCCUGGUGCCGUGGCACCCGACCAGAUCCUUGCAAAGGAGCGCCUGGGCCCGUCCUCUCCGCCGGCUUUGGAUAAAGUUGCGCCACCAAUCGUCACCGCUCCGGAGACCGCUUUGGCGCGUCCUUCCCCGCUAACCGCCUCCACGUCUAUGACCGUCCAGGCUUCAAAUUCAAACAUGGAAGCCACCGACGUGGCUGCGCAAGAGCCACGCACUGAUGCCCCGCUCCUCUCUCCGCCUGAGGCGUGCGAUGUGUGGCCUGGAGAUAGAGACAACUCUCCACCAUGUCCCGCCGCUGAUGCCGCCCCUGUCGCCAUCCCGGACCAUAUCCUGGGCCACUCCCCUACCCCAACCAAUCAUGAUUGUCGCCUCGGAUCCGUUGCCCAUGGGCCCCCCUCCGCCCCACUAGUGCCAACCCCCCACCUGCCCUUGGAUGCUGAGCAACUGGCCAGCCCCUUUGAGCUGGUGCAUGUGCACCGAUCGCGCCAAUCGUGCCGGCCGCUGGGGGCGCGAAUUGCAACGCCAUGCAAACCCCUUCAGCUCCCCCUCCUCCCCCGCAUGAUGCCUAUCCUGCCGACUCCACCGGCUCUCCGCCGCCGGAAGGAGAUCCCCGCCAAUUUCAUUCCUCGACGCAGUUUCCGAAUUGCGAAAGCCGACCGAGGUUUGGGAUCUGAGAUGAAGGCCAAGCGUGUGCUCCUCCGUCGCCUCGGGCUGAUCAGUGAUGAUAGCGCGCCGAUCUCCGACGAGAUCCUGGCCAAAUAUGCUCAACUCUUCAAGCGGCCUCUCGCUGAAGACGUCAUCGAGGCGUUCGCCGAUUUCUUCGGAAAUAAUAUGAGCAUCAAUUUUAAGUUUUGGACUUGGAUCCUGAUGGAUGAAGAUAUCACACAUCGGCUCGCCCCGGCCGCGUCUCUCCUAGGAAUCUUCUCCCCGGCCGCGUCGCUCGCCUCGCCCGCCCCGGAGGGGGAGAGGAGGACAAGUGCGGAACAUUUCCCUUCCUGUCUCAAGCGGGGCCAUAUAUAA